CUAGUGUUCUUUAAUGUAUUAUGAAGCUAUAAAUAUAUAUAUUCUGUUCAAUCGAAUUUCAAGAGUUCAAAAUAUUGUUAAAUCUUUAAUUAAUUACUUACGAAUUUUGUGGGAUAAAAUUAGUGUUAAAAUAAAAUUUAAAUGAAUAUGGAAAUAGAUAAGUAAAUUUAUAUUACGAGAAUAACUUGUUGUUGGAUCGGAAUUUCUAGAUUAGUCAAUCUAGUGACUUUUUCUUUCUAGAAGGAUAUUCGAUACAUUGAACUUUGAUUACAUAAUUCGUAAAAUUAAAAUAUUACGUAUCCAGAAAUACAUAUACAAGAUUGUACAGAUUUUGUGCAUAGAAUUGUGCACAUUAUGAAAGAUAUUAUAAUGAAACAAACGAUAACAUUUUGCCAUUCUAAGAUAAGAUAUAAAAUUUUCAAAUGGUGAAAUAUUUUUUUAGAAUUUCGUAACAUUUCGAAAGCAUAAAACAAAACGGAGAGAAAUACACGAGCACGGCAAAGAACAUGAAACUUUCCUUGGGAAUUGCAACGACAUGCACAAGAUUGUAUAAAUUAUCGAUGUACUUUAACCAACGAGUUGUUCUCAACGCAUAGUUUAUAUAAUCCUUAGCAUUACACGAUGAAGAAUAAAUUUCUCCUCCAAUCUAAUCUCGUUUUUUUUUUCUUUUUCUUUUUCUUUUUUUUUUUUUUACACAUCUCGACUUUAAAUAUCAGUAUACACUGCUUGAUAUAAAUAGAUAUGCCCGGUUAGAACAUCGUGUUAAGUAUCCUCUCACCAAAGAAAGACAAAAACGGGUAGGAAAUCACAUGGCAUUAAGAAAAGCCAUUAAGUAGGUUCAGAGAGAAAACCAUUUCUCUUUUGACCCCAUCGAUCUAUUCGAACACGCAAUCUUAAACAUAACCAUGUAUUUAUUUAACUUUCAACGAUAUAACGACGUUUUCAUAGUCACAAAAUAUCUCACUAUUUUUCUAGUAAAUGCCGUUAAAUGUUGAAUUUCAUGUGUUGCAAAAAAUCUAAUUUAAUUAGAAAGAAAGAGAAAAAAGAAGGAAAGGGGAAAAAGUAUAUAUUUUUUUUUUUUUUUUUUUCGUUAUAUUCGUUAUAAUUUAUUCAUCCAUAGUUUUGAUAGAAACUAUAUUCAAACGCUUCCGCUUGGGCAAUCCGGACCUUGCAGUAACAUUUAGCUUCGAACGAAGCGAACUUAUUAUUUAUGCAGAGAACUCGAUAUUACGUUAAGGUUCGAGCUCUCGCUUUUAAUGGCGCUAUUGUUUGAUUCCUUCCAGAUACGUGCCUCCCUUUUUUUCUCUCUCUCUUCUCUCGACUCGUGAUGAACGUGUUCACUUAUCUCUUCCUUCGCGUUAUGUAACACCGAAAGGAAAGAAUGGUGGGUAACUGAAAAAAAAACCGAGAAAGCGAGAGAGAAGAGUGUUUCGAUUCGCCAAACGAUGAACCAUUUCAGGUUGGUCGAGGAGGAUCGAUUCUCAGCAUAACGAGAGAGCAACUUUCUACUCACGGUAUUCGUAUAAAGUUCAGCUCCACGUUUGUAAUUUGCGGUUUGUUGCGCGCGCAGCAAUCAGAUCGGUAACGUGGACCGCUAAACGAUCUUACCCGAGAAGAGCAUCGGCUAUUCUCGUCCUUUCGUUUGCGUGAAAACUGAAAUGGCGGAACGGCUUUCUAAUGUAUCACGUGGAAAGAAAGAAAUUAGAAGAUUAUAGUGAAUUGCGUUCUCUCGUGUUUUUGUUCUCGAAACAAGAAUGGAAAUUAAAAAUUGUGUUCAGUAAAGAAUAUACGUGGGACGUAACGAGCGAUUUAAAACGAUAAAAGAAUAAUUUUUUUCGAGAGGUUAUGUUUGAGAUAAGAUUGUAACAAGUGAUGAAUGUAAAUGAAUGUAAAUGAAAUCAAGCUCGAAUUGUCAAAUUGGAAAAUAUAUAUAUAGAUCCAUGUGUUGGAUAAAACAAUAUUUUAUCCAUGGAUAAAUAAAGCAAAGUUUCAAAAUACUUCGAUUUCAAUCUCUUUGAUCAAUCAUAUACAUUUGCAUCGAUUUAUCAGGAUUUUAUUUUAAAAAAAAUAGAGGAAAAAUGACAGAGAUAGAUGACAAAUUUCUGCGAGGAUUCGAUGAAUGAACAGUGAUAUUAUUCACGUUACCUCGAGCGUGUCUAUAUAAUUUCUCAUUUACACAAUGGUGCACGAGCGAUGCAUUUGCACCGUGUUGCAGCAAAUGCAACUCUACUUUAACAUAUCGAUUCACGUACGUCGAAAGUUUCAGAAGGCCACAGCAAUACGAUUGAACGAGCAAAGCCUCUAAAAGAGACGAGAGAACUUUUACACGAAUUUAAACUUUCCAUCAAGGUUACGCAUAUUAUUAAUUUUUCUAGUAAGGCUUAAACAUAUUGGUGAAACCGAAAGUAUAGAUAUUUUUAUGCAUUCAUGAGAAAUACGAAUAUACAAAAAUGGAUAUCUUCGAAAGAGUUUAUUUUAUCGAUUCGCAACGAAUGUAUGAUUAUUCUCAAUGCCAUGGUAUACCUACACGUGCAUAAACUAACAGCCAUGAAUAAAAUAACUUUCAUGGUAUAAUUAAAUGUAGAUAGAUGAUAUAACAAACACGAACUUUUCCCCUCUCUUCCCCUUUAUAACUAUACAUACAAUACGACUAACAACGAAUUCUGAUACGCAUAUUUCACAUGACUCCCCACUGCAUUUCGUAUCAAAAUAAAAACAAAAUUUGAUUACAUUUAAAGAGAGAUGUUAUUCUACAACAUCAAACGCACAACAUUUCCAACUUUUGAACCUCGCAAUCAAUUACCACGCAACGAGCCUGUCUCAUCAAUACCAUUUACCGCAAAAUAAAUUUUUCUGUUAUGAUAAAUUUAAUUACACUUGCAGUCCAAUAGGUGAAAUCCAAAUUUGUUCGUUUUUUCGAUAGAAUGAAGAGGAUCCCGUCGUUUUGAUGAACAACGAACCGAUCAAAGGUCGAUCCUCGAUCGGUGUUAAUGAAAUUAGCGGGCGAUGGCCGAGGGAUAAGGCGCUGUGCGGAGCGGAAAACGCGCGGAAGAGUCGGCCCAGCCGGAUACCUGAUAUCGGUAUUAACUCGACCAUAAAGCAUUCCGCAGGCCCCGUCCACAAAGUGAUUGCGAUUGCGCCUCGGGCAUUACAACGCGCAGAUUUAUGAACAGGGGUUGCCUACGAACAAAAAUUGGGAAGGAGGUAGGAUAAGGGUUUCAUUUGAAAGAACGAAGGGAGUAAUGAUAUAUGUAUAUGUAGAAGGGAUGUAUGUAGGCGAUGAAGAAUGGUAAUGAAGCGGAUCUAAAGAGGAUCUCAAACGAUUCUGCCGGGAGGAUUCCGAUCCAAAUUGCCAGAAUCCUUCGAGUCUGGAGGGUGUUGGAGACGUUACAAAAUGCGUUCCGCAAUGCAGACACCGCGGAACCUUUGUACAGCUCGAUGCCAGCUGUGCGGAGUGCCAAGUAAAAACUGAAUAUUUGUCGCCUUAAUAUGUCCAAUAAAUAUGCUUCAAAUUGUGAGAAAAGACGCGGCAAAUGAAAAGCAAGGUAUUCGAUUCGUAUCACACUCAAAAUAAUUUUAAUUAAAUAGAUGAAGUGGAUUUUAAUCUCGUCAAUAAUUAUCGUUAUUAAAAUAUUUGCAAUAUCUUACUUAUUCUACAGUCGCCAAAUAAAAGCAAAAAAAUCACUAUACGUUUUCAAAAAUUAAAAUUUAUUCAACCAAUAGAAAAUUAAUAUAUUUCCGAAAAAUCAUAGAAAAAAAUAAAUAUAUAAUACGUAAUUAUAACAAAUAGAAUAUUUAAACCAAAAUAUUUAAUAUCACGGUUUACCUUGCAACAAAUAAACACUUUAUCUAAUUCAAAUAGCAAAAAAAAAAAAUCAACAUUUUCUUUCUAUUUCAAAAUGACAACAACAGGCAAGAAGAGAUUCGAACCAGCAUGAAAAUAGACAAAACUGCAUGCGAAAACUUAUUUUACGAAAUUUUCGAUCAAUCGCGAAAUAAACUGGAAAGAAAAUCGCAACGCAGAUUCGAAAAAAAAAAAACAAAAAUCACGGAAAAGCAGAUUUUCUUCUAUUUCACCGCGAAUAACAGGAAUAUCUGGACAAUUGGUAGCCCCCGCGGGGGUUAAGCCGCGGCUCGCAAUAACCGAUCGGCGCACAAAUACAAUCCCGGCUCUCUCAACCGCCCGUUUCAUUUGCAAAUAUACAUACUUCCGCAUGCUGGCCGGUAAUGGCCGUUCGAAAUUGCUCGAUCUCAAUAAAAUGGCCACGAAACUUCGCGAGCACUGUAUAUAGACCGUGGUGCGCCAAUACCAGCGCGGAGAGGGGACGCGUGUGCACCGAUACAGGUGAGAGCACACGCACACGCGCACGCGAAUAUCUCGUUGCAAUUUUACAGGGACCCGAUCAUCCUAGGGAAUUUAUAUUUCUCGUUAUCUCUCCCGCGUGCACGCGCAUGUGUGCCGCGCAUACAUCGCAGUGUGCUACUCCGUCGAGACAAUUUUCGCGUGGAAAAGUUAACGUUUGCGGCACGCUAACCGAGGAAUAUUUCAUUCUGGAAGAUCGUUCGCUUCGUUUCUGGUGUCUUGACUACCUUUGCUUGGAAGACGAAUAGGGGACUGAGUGUUGUGUCUCUUGGUCGAAACGAAAUUGAGCACAAGAAGAACUGGAUUAUCAAAGAGACAGGGGACGAUUACACACACGCGUGCAAAAAAUCCGGAAAUGUAUCGAAAAGGUGAACGCCAUACGAAGACAAGAAACGAGUAUCUGGGAACAGAUUCGCGGUGGCGAAAGGGCAACGGAUCGUCUACGUUGCGCAGUGAAGAGACUCCGAAGAAGAAGAAGAAGAAGAAGAACAAGAAAACAUAUAUAUAUAUAUAUAUAUAUAUAUAUGAACCGUUCACGAGUGAAAUGUCAGCCCUCCAUUCUCUUUGUAAAUAGGAGGGGUUGGGGGUAGUAGAGUUGGACGGGUAAGAAACCAGUUUUCGAUCCGAUAUUUCCUCCGAACAAUGGGGAACGUUGGAAAACUCAAUUGAAAGAGAAAUCGGUAGGCCGCUGGUAGCGAACCCAAACCUCCGUUGGAUUUGUAUCGUAUAUAUAUAUAUAUAUAUAUAUAUAUAUACCUGAUAGCAUUGUGCUCGCCGCGAGACGAAUUGCGAAUAUUGCCAGAUACUCUCGCCGACCUUUCCAAUUUGUAUCGUAACCUUUAGAGAGGCUUGGGCGAAGGGAGCCGAUGGAAUCGAUGGAUAAACAAUUCCGAGGAAUUGUAAAGCGAGAGAAUGAUAUCGUUGGAACGAUUGAAAGUUUCUACUUGAAUUAGCCAAACCUCGAAAUUUUCUGUAAAUCUUCGCCAAUUAUUGGCUGGGGAAUGAUUUUGUUAUUCGAUUCGAGUCUGAAGAUUGAUGAUACGAAAAUAUAUAUAUCGUAUUACA